rnacentral:rRNA from 1 species
UUCCGUAGGUGAACCUGCGGAAGGAUCAUUCACAAUAAGUGUUUUUAUGGCACUUUAAAAAUCCAUAUCCACCUUGUGUGCAACGUUUUGAGCUCUUUUUGUCAUUUCGCCGGUCGCAGAACGUUUGUUCUACAGCCGCGGAAGGUACGAUAAGGAGGGCUUUUUAUACCUUAACUCUUGAUCUUUAACAACUUUGUCUGAAAAGCUAUUGCGAAUUAACUUAAUUCAAAAUAAAUACAACUUUCGACAACGGAUCUCUUGGCUCUCGCAUCGAUGAAGAACGCAGCGAAAUGCGAUACGUAAUGUGAAUUGCAGAAUUCAGUGAAUCAUCGAAUCUUUGAACGCACAUUGCGCUCUCUGGUAUUCCGGAGAGCAUGCUUGCUUGAGUAUCAGUAAAACACCUCAAGUCCGCUCUUCUUUUUGAAGACGGAUUUGGACUUGAGCGAUCCCAACAGGAGGGGCUUUCCCCUCUGGCGGGUUGCUUGAAAUGCAGGUGCAGCUGGAUUUUCAUCUGGGCUAUAAGCAUAUCUAUUUAGUCCCGUUAAACGGAUUAUUACUUUUUGCUGCAGCCAACGUAAAGGUUGAUUGUCCUCUUGCUGACUGAUGCAGGAAUUUUCGGGGGAUCGGCAACGAUUACCCGUUAAACUCGAUCUCAAAUCAAGUAAGACUACCCGCUGAACUUAAGCAUAUCAAUAAGCGGAGGA